GCCGGGCGUGGUGGUGCUUGCCUGUAGUCCCAGCUACUCGGGAGGCUGAGGCUGGAGGAUCGCUUGAGUCCAGGAGUUCUGGGCUGUAGUACACUAUGCCGAUCGGGUGUCUGCACUAAGUUUGGCAUCAAUAUGGUGACCUCCCAGGAGCGGGGGACCACCAGGUUGCCUAAGGAGGGGUGAAUUGGCCCAGGUCGGAAAUGGAGCAGGUCAAAACUCCCGUUGCUGAGCAUGUAGGGAUCGUGCCUUGAUAGCCACUGCACUCCAGCCUGGGCAACAUAGCGAGACCCCAUCUCU
rnacentral:SRP_RNA from 1 species